UAUAACAUACACAUGCUCUAUCUUAAUUUUUUCUAGAGAAAGAGAGAAUUAUGGCUAGGAACGAUAUAAGACGUGCACUAACAAUAUUGAUAUUUGAGAUGCUUGUUUGUUCUGUUAUUGCAAAAUUCCCAGGAAAUCAUAUUGCUGAUGACAAGUCUUUGGCUCCAAGUCAACCUGAAGAACCUGAACCUGAUGAAGAGAAAUAUGAUGAAUAUGAUUACUCUCAACUUCAAGCUUGUAUCGAAAACUGCAACAACAACGACAAUAUUCGUGAUCCAGAAAAGUUGUCGGACUGCAUUGAGGUUUGCUAUAAGAGGAUCUAUGAUUAGUACUAAAAAGAGUAAUGGUAACUUGGUAAGUAUCUAAGUUAUUGUGUGAAUUUUUUUUAUUUUUGUAAGUCAUUUUUAUUUUAUACUAUCUUAAUUAUUGAAUAUUUAAUAUGAUAA
rnacentral:lncRNA from 1 species